rnacentral:rRNA from 1 species
AUUGAACGCUGGCGGCAUGCCUUACACAUGCAAGUCGAACGGUAACAGGCCGCAAGGUGCUGACGAGUGGCGAACGGGUGAGUAAUGCAUCGGAACGUGCCCAGUCGUGGGGGAUAACUGCUCGAAAGAGCAGCUAACACCGCAUACGACCUGAGGGUGAAAGCGGGGGACCGUAAGGCCUCGCGCGAUUGGAGCGGCCGGUGGCAGAUUAGCUAGUUGGUGGGGUAAAGGCCUACCAAGGCAACGAUCUGUAGUUGGUCUGGGAGGACGACCAGCCACACUGGGACUGAGACACGGCCCAGACUCCUACGGGAGGCAGCAGUGGGGAAUUUUGGACAAUGGGCGCAAGCCUGAUCCAGCAAUGCCGCGUGCCUGAAGAAGGCCUUCGGGUUGUAAAGGACUUUUGUCAGGGAGGAAAUCCCUAGCGUUAAUACCGCUGGGGGAUGACAGUACCUGAAGAAUAAGCACCGGCUAACUACGUGCCAGCAGCCGCCGUAAAAC